AAAGUGUUUUUAGUUAAGGAUUUAAUUAGACUUAUUCUUUUAUUUAUUGAUAAAGGUGAAGUUAAAAAUUAUGGUUUA
rnacentral:tRNA from 1 species